rnacentral:rRNA from 1 species
AAACAUAGGGGGCAAGCGUUGUCCGGAAUCACUGGGCGUAAAGGGCGCGUAGGCGGUCUGUUAAGUCGGAUGUGAAAUGUAAGGGCUCAACCCUUAACGUGCAUCUGAUACUGGCAGACUUGAGUGCGGAAGAGGCAAGUGGAAUUCCUAGUGUAGCGGUGAAAUGCGUAGAUAUUAGGAGGAACACCAGUAGCGAAGGCGGCUUUCUGGACUGUAACUGACACUGAGGCACGAAAGCGUGGGGAGC